rnacentral:lncRNA from 1 species
AAAAUAUAUCACGUAAUUAAGUUCAGAAAAUAAGCCUUGAAAACAAGCUGGAAAUAUAAUAUCAGAUAAUAGUAUUAGUGUUCACAGAAAGUCUACUAGUGUUAAAAUUUUUCCAUUAGAGUGGGUGGUAUGGAAAACGGUUGUUAUUAUUUAAAAACGCGAAAUAGCUUUAGAAAAAUCAAUUUCCUGUUUUUUCAUGUCGCUUACGCUUUCUAUGUUUUAAAGAAAACUAUUUUAAAUUAUCAUCAUGUGUACGUAGUAUUCUGGAAUACUGCAUCGACACAUUUAAUCUAUAGUAGAAUGUUAGAAGCCAUAUUGACAGAGGAUUAAAGAGCAAUACAUACACGAUGUUGUCCUAUUUUAGCAGUUUCAAUUCGUGUGUUCCAAUAUUAGAAUGACAAAAACAAUGAGAUAUUAAAUUAUCAUUGAUUGCAUAUGUACGAACCUCAACAUAUUUUACUAGUUUGUGUUUUUUAAAUCCUAGACAUUCUAAGGAAAAUACAAAAUUUCUUGUUCCUAAUAUAGGGGCAAAUUCUGAAAUUUCGUAGGAGGGGGCUAGUCACUUACAUGGAAACUAGCUUGCAAUUGGUGCAUAUCAAUUCGAGCCCGGUAUAAUGAAAGUUAAAGUAAUCUUUCGCGGUGUUUGAACUCAGAAUGUAAAGAUGCAAGAAAUGUCGCUGAGUAUUUUCCCCUGUAUGAUAACAAUUCUGCCUGCUCGCUGAAAAGUGAUAUAGAAGACUGGAGGCAGAUAUAUGUUAUGUUAACAGGGAUUCUACAUGUCAAGUGUAGAAUGUCUGUUUUGUAUGACCCAUCAUCAAUGUUAAAAAAAGGUUACAAUAAAGACAAGAGAGUUUUGACAAAUGAUGAUAUAUGCAGCUGCAUACAUUGAUUUUCAGCACAGCUGUGAUCUCAUCUGGCAUAGUUAAUUUAUUUGUCUUUAGAACAAAGAUAACUCUAAACAAAACCGAACACACAUACACAAGAUAUUAGUUAGUUCGGUGGUUGGCUGUGGUUCAUAGGCACAAGAGAAUAUAUUCUCUAUGCUUGUGAUGUAUAAACUUUUUCUGAAUGUAAGCCAUAGUCAAGCAUACUGGUAUGCGACAUUGAUAAGUCAAAACAAUGCCGAAAUAUCAAUAUCCGUCUAUCUGAGAAGGGACUUGUGAGUUGUCUCGCUUGACAGACUUGCAUUCAGUUUUCUGGGUUUUCUUAAAAAUCAUUCACAUAGAGAAUAUAUUCUCUUACGUCUAAGAACCCCAGCCGACCCACGAACUAACAACACACAUUCCUUGUGUACGUGUGCUCAAUUUCGAAUAAAUACCUCGAAUUGCUUCUAAAUCAAAUUUGAAAGAAAACUGUGUCGAAAGAAAUGUGUCGUAGCAAAUGAUUUUACUGAAGUUUAAAUAUUUAGCAGAUAUUUCAAUAAUAUGUAUUUUAUCGAAACCCUGAUUAAGCAAGUAUUAAAGUACAAAAUCGGCAUCUUUGAUUAUUUUCAAACUCUAUCCAUCUAGACGUUAAUUUCAUUUUUUUUGUAAUUCACUUGCUCGUUUCUGCUCGUUUUGCCAACGCCCUUUAUUUUUCAUUCAUUAGUGUGAAAAAUAUAUGUAUGCAAUCUGAACCAGUGAACAACUAAAUUUUUCCGUAUGAAUAAAAUACCUAAGCUACAUUAGUUCAUAUUAUUUCGCAAAAGGUGACACAGUUUCCUAUGGAUUAUUGCUAGAAGAAACCACAGUGGAUAACAUUUACUCUCCUGUGGGUAAACAAAGUUUUCUAAAGCGCAAAUAGAACUUUUAGUACUAGUAAUAAUUCACAUACGAGAUAUUACACACACACAACCCCCCACACACACACACACAUUUGUAUGUAUGUGUAAGUGGACACGGAUAAAAAGAAAUGCAGUCAUCCAACCAUAUCGUGUUUCUCGAGUGUCAUGUAACAAACAUAGGAACGCUAUAUGCAAACACAAAUGAACUACAAACAGCAGCAUACCAUAUGCAUCCUCGGUAAAGUUUCCUUAUACUGGCAACAAACAUCACUAGUACAAGCAUUGCCAUCAACACUUACACCUCUACUAGCACAACUACUAAUGUAUUUACAACCGUUUCUAUCAAUGACUUUUUUCUUUAAAAUGCUGAAUAUUUUUUUCUCUUUAGUAGCUUCAUAUUCCUAUUUUGCGCUCCAGUGGUCUUACGUAUGCAAUACAGGAAACUGCAUUCAGAUUUUCUUUCAACUUCACUGACCAUUGUUCUUGAAGAAAUGUCGUUUCGUAAACCAUCCGCAUUCUAUCUCCUCUCCAACUAGCAUCUUAUUGUUUAAUAUUAUUUAUUUCUUCUUUCUACCCCCUUCCCAUUUUCAUUUAUUUAUUUAUUUAUUUCACUGUUAACUAGCAACUCUAAAUUCUUCGAUUUCUUUUUCACAUUUUUAUAUUUUCAUCAUCAUAUUCUAUUUUUUUUCCUUCUCAUUUUCUCACUGCAGGUGGCCUACUGAAGACUUGAUGGAUCAUCCAAGGUGCCUGUUGCGUUGAAAGCUCGUUGUAAGCUGCAGUUUAUACAUGGCAUUAAUGAGACUUUCUUCAUUCAUUGUCCCGCGCUAGAAGAACUGACGUACGGUAUAUUAUCUCGUGAAAGAAGCAAAACCAAAAAAAAAAAAAUCAUACAAAAUAACUUAGAUAUUUUACCAUUAUUUUAAGCAAAAUUUUAGCAUAUGUAACCCUGGAAUUAUUCAUUCAAAUAUUUUUUGAAAAAUAACACAAAUAGGUAAACUCUAAGCAAUAUAAAUAUAUAUACACAUGUAUGUAUAACUAUAUUGAGUAACAUAACAAUAAUAUUAUUGUUAAUGAAUUAUUAGUGCUAUCAUUGAUUUUUAUAAAUAAUUUACAAUAACUUAACGCACUUGUGCGGCGACGAAACAUGGGAAUCACCGACUGUACUGUUAUCAGUGGAUUUUACUCAGAAAAUAAGAUCUGGUGGUAA